rnacentral:lncRNA from 1 species
GUCCAAGGUCACUCCCUGAAAAGAAGCACCAAGGAUCAGCUAUCUACUUCUACUGAAAAGCUUUUUCCUUUCCUGAGAAAGGUGCUGUUCCUUGGAGUUGAACAGACAAAUUAAACAUCAGACCGUACAUAUCUUCUUCAAGCUUACGAGUUUUGCUGACCCAAGACAGGAUUUCCGAACUAGCUUCUGACUUACUUGUCCGUUCUUCUUUCAUCCUUAAAGUACAUGAUAUGAUCCCAAUCACAAAUCAGAGGAUGAAAGUAAAAAGAUUCUAAACCCUAAGACAAUAAAGAAGGACCUGCGCUUGCUACAUAUGAUUGCAUUUGGAAGAUAUUGGGAGACGUCAGACUCAAAUCACUAGUAAUUUUGUACUAAAAAGUAGUCUAAACUGAAUCACAAUAGUCAAAAACGAAAGAAAACUGAAUGAAAAAUUGACAAGAGAUUGCACC